rnacentral:tRNA from 1 species
GCGGGGGUGGCCGAGCCAGGUCAAAGGCGGCGGCCUCAAGGGCGGAUGGGUUCGUGGGUUCGAAUCCCACCCCCCGCA